rnacentral:lncRNA from 1 species
ACAAAUAUCAUUUCUCAAUUCAAGAUAGUUAUCACCUUCCGUAUGAGAGCAAUGAAUCCUAACCAUCCAAUCAUGUUGAAGAUCAUCUAUUAUGAAGAGUGAGUGUUGACUCAUUGAUGAAACUCGUAUUGAGCAAGGAGAGACCAAACUCUCUAGCCAAUGCAAGACCUAAUGGUGCUCGACAUGGAGAAUCUCAAAUGUAACCAAAAAAGCCAUAAAUUCAACCAUAUAUGUGAUGUUUGUUUGACC